rnacentral:rRNA from 1 species
AGAAGGUAACAGCCCUGUAGUUGAAAAAGAAUUCCCUCCGGAGUGUAUCCUGAGUACGGCGGAACACGUGGAAUUCCGUCGGAAUCCGGGAGGACCAUCUCCCAAGGCUAAAUACUCUCUAGUGACCGAUAGUGAACCAGUACCGUGAGGGAAAGGUGAAAAGCACCCCGGAAGGGGAGUGAAAUAGAACCUGAAACCGUGUGCCUACAAGUAGUCGAAGCCCGUUAAUGGGUAACGGCGUACCUUUUGUAGAAUGGACCGGCGAGUUACGAUCGUAUGCAAGGUUAAGUGGAAGACACGGAGCCGCAGCGAAAGCGAGUCUGAAUAGGGCGAAUGAGUAUGCGGUCGUAGACCCGAAACCGUGUGAUCUACCCAUGUCCAGGGUGAAGGUCAGGUAACACUGACUGGAGGCCCGAACCCACGUAUGUUGAAAAAUGCGGGGAUGAGGUGUGGGUAGGGGUGAAAUGCCAAUCGAACACGGAGAUAGCUGGUUCUCUCCGAAAUAGCUUUAGGGCUAGCCUCAAGAAAUAGAGUACUGGAGGUAGAGCACUGAUUGGACUAGGGGCCCUCACCGGGUUACCGAAUUCAGUCAAACUCCGAAUGCCAGUUACUUUUACUUGGGAGUCAGACUAUGGGUGAUAAGGUUCAUAGUCGAAAGGGAAACAGCCCAGACCGCCAGCUAAGGUCCCAAAGUAUACGUUAAGUGGAAAAGGAUGUGGAGUUGCCCAGACAACCAGGAUGUUGGCUUAGAAGCAGCCAUCAUUUAAAGAGUGCGUAAUAGCUCACUGGUCGAGUGACUCUGCGCCGAAAAUGUACCGGGGCUAAACGUAUCACCGAAGCUGCGGAUUGUUCUUACGAACAAUGGUAGGAGAGCGUUCUAAGUGCUGUGAAGUCAGACCGUGAGGACUGGUGGAGCGCUUAGAAGUGAGAAUGCCGGUAUGAGUAGCGAAAAAAGAGUGAGAAUCUCUUUCACCGAAUGCCUAAGGUUUCCUGAGGAAGGCUCGUCCUCUCAGGGUUAGUCGGGACCUAAGCCGAGGCCGAAAGGCGUAGGCGAUGGACAACAGGUAGAUAUUCCUGUACCACCUCAUGAUUGUUUGAGCGAUGGGGGGACGCAGUAGGAUAAGGAAUGCGCACUGAUGGAUAUGUGCGCCCAAGCAGUGAGAAAGUCAGAUAGGCAAAUCCGUCUGGCAAUUUCAAGCUGUGAUGGGGAGGGAAAUUUAGUACCGAAGUUCCGGAUUUCACACUGCCAAGAAAAGCCUCUAGUUAGAUCAUAGGUGCCCGUACCGCAAACCGACACAGGUAGGCGAGGAGAGAAUCCUAAGGUGAGCGGGAGAACUCUCGUUAAGGAACUCGGCAAAAUGACCCCGUAACUUCGGGAGAAGGGGUGCUUCAUUUACAUGGAGCCGCAGUGAAUAGGCCCAAGCGACUGUUUAGCAAAAACACAGGUCUCUGCGAAGCCGAAAGGCGAAGUAUAGGGGCUGACACCUGCCCGGUGCUGGAAGGUUAAGGGGAAAUGUUAGC